AAUCAACGCUGGCGGCGUGCCUAACACAUGCAAGUCGAACGCGAAAGUCCCGCAAGGGAUGAGUAGAGUGGCAAACGGGUGAGUAACGCGUGGGUGACCUGCCUUCGAGCGGGGGAUAACGCUCCGAAAGGGACGCUAAUACCGCACAACAUCCCGCCUUUGAACAGGCGGAAAUCAAAGCUGGGGAUCGCAAGACCCAGCACUUGAAGAGGGGCCCGCGUCUGAUUAGCUAGUUGGUGAGGUAACGGCUCACCAAGGCGACGAUCAGUAUCCGGCCUGAGAGGGCGGACGGACACACUGGGACUGAGACACGGCCCAGACUCCUACGGGAGGCAGCAGUGGGGAAUUGUUCGCAAUGGGCGCAAGCCUGACGACGCAACGCCGCGUGGAGGAUGAAGACCU
rnacentral:rRNA from 1 species